UACGGGGGGGGCAAGCGUUGUUCGGAAUUACUGGGCGUAAAGGGCUCGUAGGUGGCCAACUAAGUCAGACGUGAAAUCCCUCGGCUUAACUGGGGAACUGCGUCUGAUACUGGAUGGUUUGAGUUUGGGAGAGGGAUGCGGAAUUCCAGGUGUAGCGGUGAAAUGCGUAGAUAUCUGGAGGAACACCGGUGGCGAAGGCGGCAUCCUGGACCAAUACUGACACUGAGGAGCGAAAGCCAGGGGAGCAAACGGG
rnacentral:rRNA from 1 species